rnacentral:lncRNA from 1 species
GCUUAAAGAGUUCUUUCAUUCAUGAAAGUAAGAAAUUUCAUGUCAUAUUACCCUGGUUGCCAGAGGUUCUGUAUCUUUCGCCUUAUUCCCGCUCGUAACGAGCGGGAAUAAGGCGAAAGAUACAGAACCUCUGGCAACCAGGGUAAUGUCAUAUGCACUUUUAAAAAAUGUACCAUAUUUCAGCAGAUUAUUAUAAUUUAUUUAAAAGAGCUACAAGAAAGUUUACAAAUUAUCAUUUACAUCUAGAUUUAAAUUAUUUUAACAAUAAUAAUCAAUGUCUUACUUAAUUUUAGUACUAUAUAUAAGUUUAUAUAUUAUUACAAUACAAAUCUACUGGCAAAGCUUUUGGAAACAAUCCUUGCAUGCUUGACAAUUUUCUGAUUCGUCUGUUACAAGUCAUUCACCGCAGACGCGAAUGAUAAGAAAUCAUAUCAUUUCCUUUGCCAGUGUUUAUCCAAACGGAUUGUGAACUUAAAUAAGUAAAUAUAAACUUUAUAUGGUCACUGCCGCAUAAAAUAUGCAUUAUGUUAAUGUUCAAUGUUAUGACUAAGACUAUAUUCUGUGACUACGCCUAAACUUUAAAAGAUUUCCAAGAAAACCUGGAAAUUUACUUGAAUGAAAUGUCUAAAACCAUAACUACAUAUACAAAAUGCAACGAAUUUUGCAUUUUAAACCAUAUAAUUUCUAACUAAAGACUACACUUCACCAUGCAAGACUUAUACAGUUACAGCUUCGUUUUUGAGAUGAUAUAGUUAAAUGAAGAGAUUUCAUCUCUGUCCGGCCAGACAGCUAAAUCUACUGAGACACAGCGAGUCCUAACAACAAUAAGCUGAAGUGCUUUUGGUCUGAACUACCUGAAAAAGAUUACUUCGAUUCCCGAGGUAUUUAACUUUGUUUGAUAUGCAAAUAUCAUCAACAUGACAUC